rnacentral:lncRNA from 1 species
UCCCAGCCACGUCUGUGACCUACACCACAGCUCUGGAUCCUUAAUCCACUGAAAGGCCAGGGAUUGAACCCGCAACCUCAUGGUUCCUAGUCGGAUUUGUUAACCACGACAGGAACUCCUGCAGUGGGAUUCUUAAGCCACUGUGCCAUGGCAGGGACUCCCCAGUUCUCAUCCUUAGACACAUCACAUCUUGAAGCCUCACCUCUUCUGUGCCAUGGCCUCUUGUGUUCUAACAGCCUUGGAAGAGCUCAGGUGGGCAACUUGGGAUACCUGCCUUGAGAAAUAUUCAGACAUACCGGCAGCUCUCUCUGUAGUGUUCCCUUCUCACCCGGGGUGAUGGGAAAGGCCUUCCAGAAGGAAUUCAUAGAAUAGGUGGCGAGGCCCAGUGGUAUAGGUGACAUGCCACCCUCAGAGCAAAAGAGGAAAGCAACGCCUUUAUCCCAAUUUGGGGGAUUUCUUCUUCAGCCAUUGACCCUUUGGAAAUAAUGUGAAGCUUCCUUUCUUGUAUGCAUGCUUCUAGAGCUAGAACUUCAAACCCAGAUAGGCUGAAAUCUCUAAAUAAGAGCAUCUCUUAGCUGAGCAGUUAUGUUGAAUGAAAGUAACAAAAGCGCAAACCCUCCACACAGAGGUGGUCUGUGUAGUUCUGGAAGCUCUUAUGUGUGUAUGGGGUCGGGGAGGUGCUCAGUGCAGAGAACAGUCUAAUUUUCCCUCUUUGAAUGAAAUUAAGCUACACCUCCGGUGAGUUUGAGUGGCUCCUUGACCCCUGAUAACUGCACACAGGGUCCAUCUCGGUACAGAGGGAGCGGGGAGAAACGCAAAGCUGGGCACUCAGCCCUCUGCCCCGAGAAUGAAAAUUUUAAAAUAAUAGUUUCUUCAGGGCUAAAUUAUGUUUGGUUCCAAGGAUCCUUGGAGCUAGGGUUUUCUUUGUUCUGCCAAAGGAAAAAGGAAAUACAUCAGGAAGCUGGGCCAGUCCACAGGAAGUCUCACUUGAGCUGAUAAAAGGAACUGAUGUGGGGUGGCUGGGGGUGCAGUUAUAAGUCAAUCAGCCUUGAAAUAACAAGAAAUGCUAUUCAGGAGAAACUGGAGCCUGAAGUUAGCCUUUCUCAAUGAUUUCCUUUUAACCUUGCAAAACAUUCCCUUCUUUGUGUUUUGGAGAACACCCCCCUCCCCAAAAUCGGGUUUUUUAAGGGUAUGUAGUUUGUGUGUAUAUAUGAGUGAAAGAGAAUGAAAAAGACAGCAAGAGUUAGAGCCAGAGAGAAGAGGAAAAAAGAGAGCCGGCAGCAGGAGGAAGCAUUGUCAAAUCAAAGAAUGUGCUAUUUAUUCUCUACUGAGGUACAAGACCUUUUUAUUUAAAAAAAUCAUCUUGGUAGCUCAUUCAAGGAAGGCAGAAUCUGUUGGUCUCGCCCUGGCUUGCCUGCCUGAUGUCCAGUACACCUGCCAGUAAAGUCAGGCGGGGGCUCUGACUUGGGCAACAGAGGGCUUAGGCCUUCUUAAGGAGAGGGUGCAGAGCACGGAUCAAGGCCAGGAAUUGGCCAAGUACGCACUGCAGGUGGGGGUCACUUAGACCAACCACAGCAACGCCUGCCCGGAGCCCUCAGUGGAUGGGUUGCAUCUGGAGCCUCCACUUGGAGGAUGUGUGUAUCCAACUGGCAACAGAUUACAAUGGCUCCGCUCUACGAACGUUGGAGGCAAAUGGGAUUAGGCCUCAUUGCUUUGCCACGUUCCAUCCUGCCGGCUUCAGGUGAGUCACUUCACCUGUCCAGAAUGAAAGGGGUACAGAGAGCCUAAGGUCAUGACAAGGAUCAAACAUGAACACGUCCAUAAGGGGGAAGACAGAUAUUGGCACGUUGUAGGCGCUCCAUAAACAGCUCCUUCUUUUUCUUCUUCUGACUGUGACUGCCGCCCUGGUGUUAUUCCCCUCAGAUGAAAGGUGAGGGCAUCUUUUACUCUCAGCUAAGGAGUAGGGAGAGCAAGGUAUUAGCAAGGGCCACCGGGGUUCAUGCAAAAUGCUGGGUGAUACGGUUUCAAACUGAAUUGGGGCCUUUCAGGGUUGACUGUGUUUGCCCGUAGCAUAGCACCACUUCCUGUUUUAAGAAGAAGAAGAAAAAAAAGCCUCCCAGAAAACUCAUUAAGAGGCUCAAAAUUCUGCCUGGACAUCAAAGAUGUCCUCAAAAUAUGGGUUUUGAUUUUUAAAAGAAGAGUUAGGUAUAAAUGAAUCAAAACCCAAUUCCAUUUCUCUUCAAUUAACCAGAAUUUUUGAAACAUCCAAGGGAAAGGCACUUGGGGGCCAAAUGUGUUCUGGGUUUUAAAUGAGACCAAAUUUUGGAAGCGAGGGUAAGACCCCAAAAGCAGAGUCAGGCCUGCGUCUCAGUUUACACUAAGGCAAAGGGAGGAGUACAAGCCAGUGUGUCUCCGUAAGAAAACCAGCAGCUCACAGAAAUUCACAAGGCACUUCCUAAGGCCCCCUGCCUCCACCUGGCCUCCAGGAUCUGUCUAGGUUUAGCCUCAGGGUUGCGGAGAAGUGUCCCCUGGGUCCCCAGAGAACUUCUGGGAGAAGUUCCGUCAUCCACACCCCCAAAUAAGAAAGCCUUUUAAAGCCUGCCUGGAAUCAGAGUCUUUCAAAUACGGGAGCUGAAGGAACUUUUUGACAUCGUAGCUUCACAUUAUAUAUGAGAAAAUCUUGAGCUGAGGACAUUUACACCAAUACUGCCCAAGUCACGUGACUUGUCUCAACUCCCAUAGCUCAUCUGGGGUAGAGUUGAGGCUUAGAAUUCGGGUCCCCAGAUCCUUGGCCGGACAGAUUUUCCUGCAAAAUGGGAACCAGAAGUCUUCGAGAUCAGCAUACUGAGACUAAAAUGAUGGUGCCUAGCUUAUUCCUUACAAAUCCAUUUCUAAUGGUCUUUCUUCAUUUUUUACAUCAGUUUUGUUAAAUUAUAAAAGUAAUAUAUACUAGUGACUUAAAAAACUAAGUACUACAUGCUUAUAGUGUGAAAAGUAAAAAUCUACAUUUCUAUGCCUAGAGGCAGCCAUUGCUUAAAACAAAGGAAAAUGAAAGCAUAUAUAUGAUUAUUUAUGCAUAGACAAUUUAUGGAAGGAUAAAGCCAGAAAUAAAAAAAUAUAUAUCCAUAUAUAUACUUGUGUGUAUUUUCCUUUUUUUAAAGAAAUGGGAGCAUGCAUUGUAUAAUCUGCUUUUUUUCAUCUAUUAAUAUACCUUGGAUAACUUUUUUUUUUUGGUCUUUUUACGGCCACACCCACAGUACAUGGAAGUUCCCAGGCUAGGGGUUGAAUCAGAGCUUUAGCUGCUGGCCUAGGCCACAGCCACAGCAAUGCAGGAUCCAAGCCACAUCUGCAACCUACAUCACAGCUCACACUGCAUGGUAUUUUCUUACAUGAGUCUUCUAAAAUUUGUUUAUCUAGUUCCCUAUUGAUAGACAUUUCGCUUCUUUCCAGUUUUUUUGCCAUUAUAAACAACACCACAGUGAACACUCUGUACGUGCAUCUCUGGCAUCCAAGUGAACACAUCUGUAUGAUACAUUUUAGAACUGGAAUAUUAUCAAAUCUGUAUAAAUACCUAACAUCUCCAGAAAUGUUUCCAAAUUGCCUUCCACAAUGAGUGUCCCAAGGUACAGUCCCACCAGCAGGAAAAAAGAGUGAUCUUCUCUCUCUUCUUCUAACAUGAGACCUUAUUAAGCUGUUUUAAUCUCUGGCAUCCUCAUAGGUGAGAAAUGUUGGGAUUUCAUUAAUUUUAUUUGACUAUCUUUAUACAUAUGCUUGAGAUUCUCUUCAUAACAGAUGCUUGUUGGCCGUCUGUAUUUCUUCUUCUAGCAUUGUCUAUUCCGAGCAUUUUUUCCCCUAUUUUUCUGUGAAGUGGUCUAUCUUUUUCUUAUUGAUCUGUAAGUAAUCUUUGUAUCCGAGGACAUCUGUCCUCUGUUUUAUGUAUGGGAAAUAGUCUUUCUCUGUUUCCCCUUUAUCUUUUUACUUUAUUUAUGGCAUUUUUCUCUAAGUUAAUACAUAAAUAGAGGAACAAAAGCUGAGAAAGAGGGAAUCAUAAUAAGGAGGGGUUUCCUUGGUUGAAGUCCUAGUUUCCGAAAAACGUCCCUACAAUGGAAUAACAUCAUUAAGAGUAGAGGGACAAUGGAAAUUAUAAGCUGGGUGUUACCCUUGGGAAAAUGUGCCUGAAUUUCCUUAUCAUACAAAGCCACAAAGAAAGACUGGCCUAGUGAGUACUGCUUCUUUUGGACUCUCCAAUAGUCAGAGCAUAACAUCAAUGAGCAGAGAAACCUGUAUUCUCUACAAGUCUAAGAGAAACAUCUAGACAUCACGUUCUUGGUCUUUCACGUGAAAUUCUGGAGAAUGCUGUGCCUGGCAGUAGUUUCCAUGCUAAACACAUGAGUAUGAAUUAAUGAUAAAUGCCUGAAGACAAAAGGACUCUUCGGGCAUGAGAAUUUCAAUACAAACAUGUGCAUUUAUGUAAAUUGAGUUUUUUUGUUUUUGGUUUUUGGUUUUUAGGGCCACACCUACCGCGCACAGAGGUUCCCAGGCUAGGGGGUCCAAUCAGAGCUACAGCUGCCGGCCUACACCACAGUGACAGCAACCUGGGAUCCGAGCUGCAUCUGUGACCUACACCACAGCUCAUGCAAUGCCAAAUCAGUAACCCACUGAGCAAGGCCAGGGAUCGAACCUGCAUUUUCAUGGAUCCCAGUCAGGUUCGUUAACUGCUGAGCCACGAAGGGAAUUCUCCAUUUAAAUAGAUUGUAAUAGCACUUACUUAAAGACAGCUCGCCAGCUGAGUAAUUUUAUAAUACUAACUUGUCUGUUUUCACAUUUCUGCUACAUGAACAAUGCUGCAAAAUUGUUCGCUCUCAGAUUCUGCCCCAUGAAAAAUCAAUGAAAACUCACCUAUUCAGGCUUAACAACUCUGUUCCUGGAAUGUUCUAUUCCAGUAGACACGUGAAACCCACACAUGACUAGAGAGGCAGAGUUAAAGCUCCUGUGGUACCUGCCAUUCGGGCUUCUUGCAUGUACGCACUGGGAUGUGACAUAAGGCCUUUUACGACCUGGAACACGUGGGCCCUGCCAUGGGGAACGCAUUUCAUAUCUCAAGUUCACAUUCUCUUGGAGGUGGCUUCAAAAAUUACAUACUCUGGGAUUCUGAGCAUGAUCUAAGUGGCAGGCACAGUGUUCCCCAAAGAUGGGAACAAUCUUAAAUAUUUCAGUACUUUGGUUUGUUCUUGUAGGUAUAAGCAAUUUUGAGGCCGUUGUCACAUUGAUCUGAAUUAUCUGAAAAUGCAUCUGAACACGUCAUUGCUGAUCCUACUUGAAAAGAUGCCGCUAGCUCUCUGAGGUUUUGGUUUUCUUAGGCGAAAAGUCAGUAUUUCUAAGGGAGGUGAUAGGGCCAAACAACCUAUGAAAGUGUGUCAGACCUGUCUGGAUUUCCAUAGAAAUCAGAUCUGAGUUUCAGGGAAAGGACCUUUCCUUUUUGUCUCUUCUUACUUACUAUCUGCUGACUCAUUCUCAAAAGGAACUAAAAUUGUAGCCUAGGAUAGACAGCCCUGUUGAAAAGACAGCUUGUGGUGAAAUCUCUAGAACCCUUCGAAAGAAGACACAGUUAAAGGAGUCGGAGGGAUAAUCACAUUUUUAUGAGAUCUGGUGAAAGAGUUUCUCCUGCCUCCCCUGACUGCCGUAUUUAUUAAAUAAAUAUCUGUAAACACAGCCGACAGCAUGGUCUGGUGGCCUGGAUCUAUCACUGGUUGUCUAAUCCUCUCUGUUGCUCACUUCUUGUGGCCUCUGAUAAGUGAUGGGGCCACCCUCAUCUCCACUUCUUAAGGAUCAGGAUGAGGAUGGGAAGGGCUCCAUUCCCAAGAGAUGCAUACAGUUACACCCAUCAUCCUUCUGCUACAAAUGUUGUGGUUCCCCCUUUCCGUGUAUUUUGUAAGAUGCAAAUUCUUUGUUAUGGUAUGUCAGGGGGUCCAUAAUCUAAUUUCAUCUAAUAUUUCCACUCGGACGUUCUCUUUCAUAGGCCCCCACCCCCUAAGUAGUCCACUUUCCUAGAAAGCCCUUGAAUCACACCAUCCCGUGUAAGUCCUACCCCAUCCUUCAAAGCCAAGGUCCAGGUCCACCUGUGCCAAGAGGCAGGGUGGCUGGUGCGUAGAAAAUACAAAUAUUCUGAAAACAGAAACACAAGGCUUGA